rnacentral:misc_RNA from 1 species
UUAAAGAGUUCCUUAUACCAUCGAGAGUGUAACUUUCUGUCUCAUCUAUUCUCUUCAUUUCCCCAAGAGAAGCUGAAAAAGCUUGAAUGGGUCGAAUGCCAUGCUUAAUGGUACCUGAAUUUGAUAAGUGAAACUUAAGAAACUUUUGAUGGGGUAAAAGGGUAUUGUUUCUUUUAUAGUUCGUAAUAAGAGGGGUUGUUAUGGGAGUAGAUGAAAGUCUUAACAAUUGAGCUUCCAUUAGAAACAGAGAAA